UACGUAGGGUGCAAGCGUUAAUCGGAAUUACUGGGCGUAAAGCGUGCGCAGGCGGUUGGGCAAGACAGAUGUGAAAUCCCCGGGCUUAACCUGGGAAUGGCAUUUGUGACUGUUCGGCUAGAGUGUGUCAGAGGGGGGUAGAAUUCCACGUGUAGCAGUGAAAUGCGUAGAGAUGUGGAGGAAUACCGAUGGCGAGGGCAGCCCCCUGGGAUAACACUGACGCUCAUGCACGAAAGCGUGGGGAGCAAACAGG
rnacentral:rRNA from 1 species